AGUGUCCUGAUGUUCUUUGUAUCUGAAAUUUUUUCUACAAAGCUAUGUUUUUACAGUCAGAGUUUUAUUUCUAUUUUUUACCUCUUUUCAUAGGAAGGCUGCCAUCAUGACAGCAUAAGCAUCUUUAUAGACAAGUUAACAAGAGUCAUUUACUCAGAGAGAUGUGAAGCAGGGUAAAUAAGAUUAGCAGAUGCAUUUUGCACAUUGCACUGCAGUGGGUACCAGUUCUGAAUCUAACUCAACCAUUUGGUGCUGCUGGAUCACGUGAUAAAUGAAUAAUCAAUCAGAUCCAAAGAUAACUUCCACAGUGACUAAGUUAUAAUGCCAUGUAUAACAUGAAGACAGAAGAGCAAAUAAUGUAUAAGGACAUGAGGAAGGAGUGAAUGCAGGCUACAGACAGAAAUUUUGAAAGAGGACAUCAAUCUAUUUUUUAUAUUUCUAAUUCUGUCACAGAUAUUUUGGUAUGGUAGUGGGUAAGUGAGUAAAAUACACUUGAAACUGUAAGUACACAAUUUCAGUGCAAAGCUUCACAGCUUCCAUUUUUAUGGCAAUUAUAAUUAUGUAUUCAAUUAUUAAAUUUUAUAGAAGUUGAAUCUGAAAUUUUGAAUAUUUAAUGUUUUUAUUUACCUACAAUUUUCUUAUAUUUUAUUUUACAUUUUUCAAAAAAUAUAGAGCAUUAUGGACCCUACAGUCCUAACUACCAACUGAUACUGUGUGGCAGUAAGUCAUGAACUGUGUGUGUGAAGGUGUCUUCUAUAUUUUAUUAUGUUUAAAAAUACAUAUAUCUUACCAGCUAACUACCGGCUAACAGCUAAUUAUUUAUAAGAUGAAUUCAUACUUGGGAAAACUAUUAGAAAUAUUAAGUCAUUCUCCAUUUUAAAAAUAACUUAAAAUUUUUAAUAAAGUAAAUUUUAAGAAGAAACCUUGGAUAAAGCUGUUUCCACGUGCACAAAUGAACAAUUAUGUUCUUUAGUCUGAAAGAGUUAAUGGUGUGGUUUUUAGUGAACAUUGCAAGGAAUGGUACUGGGUAUGGCAGGGAGAAAAGAAACACUUAGGGAGUGGCUGGAAAUACAGAUGUUUCACCAAAUCUUUCCAUUCAGUUUUAUUCUAGCAUUACUUUCUUGGGAUUGUGUUUUAAAAUUCUGCCACUCCUCUGCAUGAUUCCAGUGAUAUUGAACACAAUGUGUAGGGAUACAAUUUAGGUAGCAAUUUCAAUUGCAUAGCAUAGUACAGAGUGAUUUUAAAAGACAACAUGGUUUUAUUUGUGUCAAUUUAAUCAACGUAUUUAAUAUGCCACAAAUGUGUGUGUAACAUACGUAUACCUAUACUACCCUCAUUUAAUUUAUUUCAGUAUAGCCUAUUGAAAAAGUAAACGUCAUGAUCAAACAUUGCAGCGCAUGACUAUAGUCCAUACAUUGAGGAGGAAGCAGCUGGACCACAAAGGCAAGGGCAGUCUGGGUUACACAGUAUGAAGCCCAGGAAACCAGAGCUGGGGAGGUAGUUCAGUGGUUAAGAGCACUGGAUGCUCCCCAGAAGACCCAAAAACUGACUUCCCAUAGGCUCACAGUGGCUUAGAUCAUCUGUAACUUCAGUUUCAGUUGUCCAACACCCUCUUCUGGCUUCUGUGGACAACACCUGGGCACAAUUCAUUUUAUUUAUUUAUUAACACCAACAACAAAACAACUAAAGGCUUAGGAAAUUUAGCAGUAUCCCAAAGCCCUGAGUUCUUUUCCCAGCAUUAUAAGAACAAAGCCAAACAUGCACAAUUAGCCAUACUAACCACACAGGGUUUUUUUUUUUUUUUUCUUGUUUAAUUGAGUAAUUAGUUACUCCGAAUAUUUUUAUUUAUUUAUUUAUUUUUGGUUUUUUGAGGCAGGGUUUCUCUGCGAAGCUCUGGCUGUCCUGGAACUCAUUUGUAGACCAGGUUGGCCUCGAACUCAGAAAUCCGCCUGCCUCUCCCGCCCAAGUGCUAGGAUUAAAGGCGUCCGCCGCCACGCCUGGCUUACUCCAAAUAUUUUUAAGAAUUUUAAAACUAAAUGAAAUUAAACUCUAUUUAUAACUCAUGAAAGUCAUACUAUCUAGUAUAUAGAGUAUCUUCAUAUUUCUUUCUCUAUGUGACUGUACAGUAUUUGAAUUUAAAUGGACCUCUGCCUUAGAAGAUAUGGAAGAAUAUUCUUAAUCUAAUUUUUUAAAAAAAGAGAGAGCACAGGAGGUUCUAAAGCUCCAAUGCCCUGGAUUUCACAGACUUGGAAGAGUCUGAACUUGAAUCUACUGUGCUGACUCUAGCUGCUCACAGCUGCCACACAAGAAUGCUAGAGGUAGUCAUAAGUUCUGUUUGGUCCUCAGUUUUUACAAUGAGGGCAUGGCAAGAGGUUGACCGAUGUUCAUUUUCC
rnacentral:lncRNA from 1 species